CACCGUAGAGCUCGAAGUCACCCUUCUUCAGCAUUCUAAUAUUCUGCAGCCUCUGCAAUGACUUGCAGAUAUGAGAAUAGCAGACGAUAUCCAAUACCUAGAGUCUGAAUUGGAAGAACUUAAUGAUAAAAUUAUAUGUAUCUCAUACAUACCUUUUGGUGCAUCGCUUGCACCAGCCUUUACAGUUGCAAGAUAUAAUUUGCAAUUUCUUUUCCAGUGUCCUGCCUUGCCAC
rnacentral:lncRNA from 1 species